rnacentral:rRNA from 1 species
UUUUUUAUACAUUAGCGGAGGAAAGAAACCAACAGGGAUUGCCCUAGUAACGGCGAGUGAAGCGGCAAAAGCUCAGAUUUGAAAUCUGUCGCCAUUUUGGCGGCCGAGUUGUAGUCUGUAGAGGUGUAUUCGAGUGUGGCUUUGGCUUAAGUUCCUUGGAACAGGGCGUCAUAGAGGGUGAGAACCCCGUUAACGGCCUUUGUCUUAUGCUCAUGUGAAUCUCCUUCAACGAGUCGAGUUGUUUGGGAAUGCAGCUCUAAAUGGGUGGUAAAUUCCAUCUAAAGCUAAAUACUGGCAAGAGACCGAUAGCGCACAAGUAGAGUGAUCGAAAGAUGAAAAGAACUCUGAACAGAGAGUUAAAUAGUACGUGAAAUUGUUGAAAGGGAAGCACUUCCGACCAGACGCACUUGCAGCCGAUCAAUCUUCAUUCUUGAGGGUGCACUCGGUUGUCUGUGGGUCAGCAUCAGUUAUGGCGGUGGGAAAAAGACUAAGGGAAUGUGGCUCCUUUCGGGGAGUGUUAUAGCCUUUGGUGCAAUGCUGCCUGCUGUGACUGAGGACCGCGCUUCGGUGAGGAUGCUGGCAUAAUGGUCGUAAGUGACCCGUCUUGAAACACGGACCAAGGAGUCUAACAUCUAUGCGAGUGUUUGGGUGUUCAAACCCUUACGCGGAAUGAAAGUAAAUGGAGGUGGGAACCGUAAGGUGCACCAUCGACCGAUCCUGAUGUUUUCGGAUGGAUUUGAGUAGGAGCAUAGCUGUUGGGACCCGAAAGAUGGUGAACUAUGCCUGAAUAGGGUGAAGCCAGAGGAAACUCUGGUGGAGGCUCGCAGCGGUUCUGACGUGCAAAUCGAUCGUCAAAUUUGGGUAUAGGGGCGAAAGACAAUCAACCUUGC